rnacentral:rRNA from 1 species
UAGGGAAUCUUCGGCAAUGGACGAAAGUCUGACCGAGCAACGCCGCGUGAGUGAAGAAGGUUUUCGGAUCGUAAAACUCUGUUGGUAGAGAAGAACGUUGGUGAGAGUGGAAAGCUCAUCAAGUGACGGUAACUACCCAGAAAGGGACGGCUAACUACGUGCCAGCAGCCGCGGUAAUACGUAGGUCCCGAGCGUUGUCCGGAUUUAUUGGGCGUAAAGCGAGCGCAGGUGGUUUAUUAAGUCUGGUGUAAAAGGCAGUGGCUCAACCAUUGUAUGCAUUGGAAACUGGUAGACUUGAGUGCAGGAGAGGAGAGUGGAAUUCCAUGUGUAGCGGUGAAAUGCGUAGAUAUAUGGAGGAACACCGGUGGCGAAAGCGGCUCUCUGGCCUGUAACUGACACU